ACGAGUUAGGGUCUUCUAGGCCCGACCUCCCAACCCUUUGUUUACUGAACCAUUGUUGCCUCGGUGGGUCCGUCUUACGACCGCCGGGGGAUCGCCGCGAGGCGCCCCCUGGCCAGCGCCCACCGAUAGCCCAACCUUUAAAACCCUUUAUGAAUCGUGUCUCAUGUCUAAAUUUAUGAUUAAACAAUCAAAACA
rnacentral:misc_RNA from 1 species